rnacentral:rRNA from 1 species
UACGUAAGGGGCAAGCGGUUGUUCGGAAUCAUUGGGCGUAAAGGGCGCGUAGGUGGUUCUGUAUUGUCUACCGUGAAAGCAUACAGCUCAACUGUAUUUUGUCGGUAGAAACUGCAGGACUUGAGGCUGGGAGGGGCUGGUGGAAUUCCCUGUGUAGCGGUGAAAUGCGUAGAGAGUGGGGAGAACACUCGUGGCGAAGGCGGCCAGCUAGACCAGUUCUGACACUGAGGCGCGACAGCGUGGGGGAGCAAACAGG